rnacentral:tRNA from 1 species
GUGGUUGUGGCUUAGCAGUAGAGCGCUUGCCUCGCGUGUGUGAGGCCUUGGGUUCGAUCCUCAGCACCACA